UACAGAGGGUGCUAGCGUUGUUCGGAAUCAUUGGGCGUAAAGAGCGCGCAGGCGGUCGUUCAAGUCGAGUGUGAAAGCCCCCGGCUCAACUGGGGAGGGUCACUCGAUACUGAUCGACUUGAAGGCAGGAGAGGGAAGCGGAAUUCCCGGUGUAGUGGUGAAAUGCGUAGAUAUCGGGAGGAACACCAGUGGCGAAGGCGGCUUCCUGGCCUGUUCUUGACGCUGAGGCGCGAAAGCUAGGGGAGCAAACGGG
rnacentral:rRNA from 1 species